UGAGUGGUCGAGCUGCCUGGCACUGUU
rnacentral:piRNA from 1 species